ensembl:lncRNA
GUUCCACUUGUGAAAAGCAAUUAUUCCAGGCUUCUCUUGGAAACGCUUUUUUGGGCCCCAGUGGUAGAAACCUGAAAUGGGCAAAAACCAGUGCACAAAAUGAGCCCCAUCACUCUCAGCUUGUGUAAGGGGCACCCGGAGGUCUCUAAUUAUACCCCUCAGGAAGACUCACGUGGUGUGCUGGGGUUGGGCUGGAUGUUCUUGGAGGUCUUCCCCAACCUCAGUGCUUCUGUGAUUCUAUGGAAAUGGCAGCAGAAUGCAUACGUGUGCUGGGGCUGCCGCUGGGAGCAGCUGCUCAGGCACGUGUGAGCACAGUGCAUAUGUGUGCACACGUGUGUGCUCGUGGCUCCUUCGCUCUGUGCCGUGGCACAGCAUCACUCCCACAUCCAACCCAGACUGGAAACUACCUUGGCAAAAUCAUCCUGGAGGAGGCUUUUAGCAGCGUGCAGCAUGGAACGCAUCCAGCACUGUGGUUUUCCAAGGUAACAGCCGAAGAAAAGGAAAAAAAAAAAAGAAAAAAUGGCACCCACUGACAUUCAUCGACAGUUGCUGAACAGUUAUGGAGGCCCAACAGUGGAUGUGAGCACAGUGCUGCUGUGGGUGGUGCAUUUCAGCAGUGACAGUGGAUCACCUCGACUGGUGCAGAUUUAUCCAACGUGGCAUGCAGGUUCUAGUUCAUCGCUGGCCAAAAAGCACAGCCAGUGGUGGUGGCUAUGUUGAAAAACAGUGCUUUGUGGCUGAGAAUUUGCUCUGUCUGUUAGUAUUAUUGUGCUCUUUGUAUCUGUUGCAGUUUCUGCGGAAAUAAAUAGGAG